UACAGAACCCAAGACUGCCAG
rnacentral:misc_RNA from 1 species